AUGGCCAUAUCACAUUGAAACACUAGUUCUCAUACAAUCACUGAAGUUAAGUAAUGUUAAGUCUGGUCAGUACCUAGAUGGGUGACUGCUUUGGGAAUACCAGGUGCUGUGA